AUUGAACGCUGGCGGCAGGCCUAACACAUGCAAGUCGAACGGAGCGGCGGACGGGUGAGUAAUGCCUAGGAAUCUGCCUGGUAGUGGGGGAUAACGUCCGGAAACGGGCGCUAAUGACGCAUACUCGCAGAAGCGCCUAGGGCGGAUUAGCCAGGUGGUGGGGUAAAGGCUUACCAAGGCGACGAUCAGUAACUGGUCUGAGAGGAUGAUAAGUCACACUGGAACUGUGACACGGGCUAUACUACUACGGGAGGCAGCAGUGGGGAAUAUUUGACAAUGGGCGAAAGCCUGAUCCAGCCAUGACGCGUGGGUGAAGAAGGUUUUCGGAUUGUAAAGCACUUUAAGUUGGGAGGCGUUACCCACAGAAUAAGCACCGGCUAACUUCGUGCCAGCAGCCGCGGUAAUUC
rnacentral:rRNA from 1 species